CGCUGACAACCCAAAAGGCGGAAACGCAAUGUCGUCGAAUUCGAUGGAGUCAUUGAUCCUCCAACUCCACGAGAUCUCGGCGGUUAAAUUCGGAAACUUUAAGCUAAAAUCCGGCAUAUCGUCUCCCGUUUACAUCGACCUCCGACUUAUCGUUUCUUACCCUUCCCUCCUCCGCCAAAUAUCCAAAACCAUCAUCUCCUCCCUCCCCUCCACAACCAAAUACGACCUCGUGUGCGGCGUUCCGUACACCGCCCUCCCAAUCGCCACCUGCGUCUCCGUCUCCAACGACGUCCCCAUGCUCAUGCGGCGCAAGGAAAUCAAAGACUACGGCACCGCCAAGGCCAUCGAAGGCAAUUUCAAGAAGGA
rnacentral:lncRNA from 1 species